rnacentral:misc_RNA from 1 species
ACGAUUAAACAUCUUCAAUGAUGCAAGAUCAUUUUGAAUACUGGCUGCAAUCAACUAGUCUGGACCACAUCGAUCAUUCUCGCUGCUGUGGUGUUCAAAAAGUAUGCUGCGUGAUUCUGUGACUGAAUGAGUCCUCAAAAUCUACUAAGAAAGAAUAAAUCUGAAUUUAUUUCCCUCAAAGUGCCCAAAGUUGGAGCUGUGACAUGAAAAUGAUCUUCGAAUGUCAUCUCUUCCCCAAAAUUUCUGAUUCCAGAAGAUACGGCCAAAAAGCAAGUACCAACUUCACAAUAGAAGUCAAUAUCAUUUCCAAAUCUACUUCUAGUCGUUAGGGUCCCAUUCAUCAUCCUGAUCCAUAGGCAGAGUCAGACUACUCCGACCACCAGUGUCAUCAGGUUCUUUUUGAACCACCUCAUUCUCAUAUUCAGAUUCAUUAUCAUCAUUUUUAGCACCUUCUGUCCCCACUGACUCUGAGGGAACAGCUUCCUGUCCAUGCUGCAUCCAUUC